rnacentral:rRNA from 1 species
UACGUAGGUGGCGAGCGUUGUCCGGAUUUACUGGGCGUAAAGGGCGUGCAGGCGGUUUGUUAAGUGCAGGGUGAAAGCUCCCGGCUCAACUGGGAGAGGUCCUUGCAUACUGGCGAACUCGAGGGAGGCAGAGGAAAGUGGAAUUCCCGGUGUAGUGGUGAUAUGCGUAGAUAUCGGGAGGAACACCUGUGGCGAAGGCGGCUUUCUGGGCCUUACCUGACGCUGAGACGCGAAAGCGUGGGGGAGCGAACCGG